UCCUCAGUAGCUCAAUGGCGGANNCGGCUGUUAACCGGUAGGUUGUUGGUUCGAGUCCAACCUGGGGAG
rnacentral:tRNA from 1 species